ACGAGUUUGAUCAUGGGCUCAGAUUGAACGCUGGCGGCAUGACCUUACACAUGCAAGUCGAACGGCAGCACGGGAGCAAUCCUGGUGGCGAGUGGCGAACGGGUGAGUAAUGUAUCGGAACGUACCAUUGAGUGGGGGAUAACGUAGCGAAAGUUACGCUAAUACCGCAUACGCCCUGAGGGGGGAAAAGUGGGGGGACCGCAAGGCCUCACGUUAUACGAGCGGGCCGAUGUCGGAUUAGCUAGUUGGUGGGGUAAAGGCCUACCAAGGCGACGAUCCGUAGCGGGUCUGAGAGGAUGAUCCGCCACACUGGAACUGAGACACGGUCCAGACUCCUACGGGAGGCAGCAGUGGGGAAUUUUGGACAAUGGGGGGCAACCCUGAUCCAGCCAUGCCGCGUGAGUGAAGAAGGCCUUCGGGUUGUAAAGCUCUUUCGGCCGGGAGGAAAUCGCAUCAGUUAAUACCUGGUGUGGAUGACAGUACCGGAAUAAGAAGCACCGGCUAACUACGUG
rnacentral:rRNA from 1 species